rnacentral:tRNA from 5 species
GUCGGGAUGGCGGAACAGGCAGACGCAGCAGACUUAAAAUCUGCUGGGGGUAUCCCCGUGCGGGUUCGAGUCCCGCUCCCGGCA